GCCGCGAAGAGCGCCCGGUAGUCGGCGAGGACCCGGUCGAGGACCGGGUAGAGGAGGCGCUCCUCGGCCAGGUUCGACUGGUGGACGUAGUGC
rnacentral:tRNA from 1 species